GACGUAGGGCGCGAGCGUUGUCCGGAUUUAUUGGGCGUAAAGAGCUCGUAGGCGGCUUGUCGCGUCGUCCGUGAAAACCCACAGCUCAACUGUGGGCUUGCGGUCGAUACGGGCAGGCUAGAGUUCGGUAGGGGAGACUGGAAUUCCUGGUGUAGCGGUGAAAUGCGCAGAUAUCAGGAGGAACACCGGUGGCGAAGGCGGCAUCCUGGACCGAUACUGACGCUGAGGAGCGAAAGCCAGGGGAGCAAACGGG
rnacentral:rRNA from 1 species